rnacentral:lncRNA from 1 species
AUGGAACGUCGACAAUCUACGAAUAUUUUACAUUUAAAUGUAAGGAUGACCUUCACAGAAUAAGCGAAGGAGCCCAUGUUUCUUAGAACCAUUUCUUUUCUUUUUUUUUCUGCCCUUUUGCAAACCAAGGUCUGCACUCUUUUCCUCACAGGGGUACACCUAGCGGAGGUGAAGUUUUUAACGUGGCAGAACCUAUGUAAAAACCUCUAAGAUAUAAAGAGGACUUACCCUAGUAACGAAACUCAUAAGUCAAAAUAGCUAGCAACGAGGCUAUAAUAUUCGACCAAACACCACGCGAAAACAAGGACCCUCUGUAGCUUACAGCCAAAGGCUAGGAAUGCUCGGAACGUCCUCAGCGGUGAAAAAACACCAGUACCUUAGC